UACGUAGGGACCGAGCGUUGUCCGGAUUCAUUGGGCGUAAAGAGCUCGUAGGCGCCACUCAAGUCGAAUGUGAAACCUCGAGGCUUAACCUCGAGCCUGCAUUCGAUACUGGCAGGCUUGAAUAUGGAAGAGGGUCGCGGAAUUCCCGGUGUAGAGGUGAAAUUCGUAGAUAUCGGGAGGAACACCAGUGGCGAAGGCGGCGACCUGGGCCAAUAUUGACGCUGAGGUGCGAAAGCGUGGGGAGCAAACAGGG
rnacentral:rRNA from 1 species